UUACUUACCUGGAUGGGGUCAAUGGAUGAUCAAGAAGGUCCAUGGCCUAGGUUAGUGACCUCCAUUGCACUGAGGAGGGGUGCUCGCCUAAGAUCUACCCAAGUGGUGGAGUCUACAUCAUAAUUUGUGACAGGGGGACUUGCGUUCGCGCAGUCCCCG
rnacentral:snRNA from 1 species